UACGUAGGAUGCAAGCGUUGUCCGGAAUUAUUGGGCGUAAAGAGCGCGCAGGCGGUUUUACAAGUCAGAUGUGAAAUAUCCGGGCUUAACCCGGAGGGGUCAUUUGAAACUGUAAGACUAGAGUACAGCAGAGGAUAGCGGAAUUCCCGGUGUAGUGGUGAAAUGCGUAGAUAUCGGGAGGAACACCAGUGGCGAAGGCGGCUAUCUGGGCUGAAACUGGACGCUGAGGCGCGAAGGCUAGGGGGAGCAAACAGGG
rnacentral:rRNA from 1 species